CCUACGGGAGGCAGCAGUAAGGAAUAUUGGUCAAUGGAGGGAACCCUGAACCAGCCAUGCCGCGUGCAGGAAGACGGCCCUAUGGGUUGUAAACUGCUUUUGCAAGGGAAUAAACCUCCGAAUGCGUUCGGAGCUGAAUGUACUUUGCGAAUAAGGAUCGGCUAACUCCGUGCCAGCAGCCGCGGUAAUACGGAGGAUCCAAGCGUUAUCCGGAUUUAUUGGGUUUAAAGGGUGCGUAGGCGGUUUAUUAAGUCAGUGGUGAAAGUCAGCAGCUUAACUGUUGAAUUGCCAUCGAUACUGAUGAACUUGAGUACAGAUGAAGUGGGCGGAAUGAGUCAAGUAGCGGUGAAAUGCAUAGAUAUGACUCAGAACACCAAUUGCGAAGGCAGCUCACUAAGGUGUAACUGACGCUGAGGCACGAAAGCGUGGGGAUCAAACAGGAUUAGAUACCCUGGUAGUCCACGCCCUAAACGAUGAUUACUCGAUGUCGGCGAUAUACAGUCGGCGUCUAAGCGAAAGCGCUAAGUAAUCCACCUGGGGAGUACGUUCGCAAGGAUGAAACUCAAAUGAAUUGACGGNGUUGAGNGNGCGAGGACGACGACGAGGGAGGAGG
rnacentral:rRNA from 1 species